AUGGGACUCAGGAGACAGGAGGCAGGGGGAGGCCUGAGGGGUGGGGGCGGCCGCCGGGCAUCUGGGCCUCUCCCUCCCCUGGCACCACCGCACCCCGCACCCCUCCCACACACACCCUCGCCGGAAAGUUCCCCAGCCCAGGCCGGGCUCCCAGGCAGCUUGGCACCGUGCCAGGCUCGCCGCCGAGCGCGGGCAGCCGGGUGGGGCGAGCGGCGGCGGCACCGAGGACAUGGCCGGGCGCCCUGGGCGCGAGCAGGACCCAAGGCCGGGAGGCCGGGGCCCAGAAGAAGGCGGCUGGUCCCAGAGCACCUCGGAGAAAGCAGACACCCGUCUUGGCCUUUGGAAGACGCUCAAGGACCACGUGGCCGGGUCCACGGUCUCUGCCCUGCGCCUCGAGGGCGAGGCAGCCCAGGUCUUGCCCUUCUUGCCGGCCACUUUGCCCCCAGCCGACGCCUGGAGCUUGAGGUGACUGAGCGCUCUCAGGCCAGCUCGGCCCUGGACCUGCUCGGCUCUGGACCUGCCCAUCUGCGUCAACGCACGAGGCCCCCGUGCCCCAGGUCAAGAAGUGGCGCCAAGGGGGGAGCUUCUGUCCGAGGCCAGCCUUCCUUCCGGCUGGACUUGGCCUGCACGAGCCACGGUCUGUGUCGCAGGGUGUCUGGAUGGAAGAGCAGCACUGGGCCCCGUCUCCCUCUCCGCCCUGAGGACCCGCCGUUCCUGGCUCCCAGGCAGGUGCGCCUGCCCCCCUCCCAACCCCAGGCUCACCCUGCCCCCUUCUCUCCACCCGGCCGGGCACCAGCCCUCAACCUGCUGCCAGCUGUCAACAUGCGACGCACACAGGUAAGUGUUAACCGGAGCAGGAAAGGCUGGAUGAGGAGAACCAGUGACAUCUGCUUCUCCCAGACGGGGCUGGGGGCACCGGGGGCUUGCGGUGACGGCCGGGGUGGCCCAGGGUGUGUGAGUGUACGUCUGUGUGCUAUUUCUCCCCCCGCCCCCGCCCCCCGCCUCUCCUGA
rnacentral:lncRNA from 1 species